UGAUGUAAAGAAAAAGAAGCCCUGCGUCAACAGGACUUCUCUUAUAGAACCGUUAAAGACGGUAACUAGACUUAUGUUAUAAAAUA
rnacentral:sRNA from 1 species